AAGGCCUUAGCUUAAGUAAAGUGUUUGGGUUGCAUUCAAAAAAUGUGAGAUAGAGUCUUGCAGGUCUUA
rnacentral:tRNA from 1 species